UUGAACGCUGGCGGCAUGCCUUACACAUGCAAGUCGAACGGCAGCACGGGAGCAAUCCUGGUGGCGAGUGGGCGAACGGGUGAGUAAUAUAUCGGAACGUGCCCGGUCGUGGGGGAUAACGUAGCGAAAGCUACGCUAAUACCGCAUACGAUCUACGGAUGAAGCGGGGAUCGCAAGACCUCGCGCGAUUGGAGCGGCCGAUAUCAGAUUAGGUAGUUGGUGAGGUAAAGGCUCACCAAGCCGACGAUCUGUAGCUGGUCUGAGAGGACGACCAGCCACACUGGGACUGAGACACGGCCCAGACUCCUACGGGAGGCAGCAGUGGGGAAUUUUGGACAAUGGGCGCAAGCCUGAUCCAGCAAUGCCGCGUGCAGGAUGAAGGCCUUCGGGUUGUAAACUGCUUUUGUACGGAACGAAACGGUGAGCUCUAAUACAGUUUGCUAAUGACGGUACCGUAAGAAUAAGCACCGGCUAACUACGUG
rnacentral:rRNA from 1 species